UUUUAGGUUUUAGGGUUUCUGUGGUGCCGAAGCCGCUCCUUUACAAAGUCCCUCUCCCUUGUUCGCUGUCUCUCUUUCAGACUGAGUCCCAUCCCCUUCGUCCCUCUUUCAAAUCUUCGACAUCAACUUCGAUUUCCGUCUGCUGUGUUGUUUACCUCCCCGGCUUUCCCUCUUUCAAGUUUCGCUUUUGUCUGCCUUUCGUCUCUAUCCUCUUUCGAUUUUCUGGACCAGUACCAGUGGUCUUUCACUUCAGUCGUGCAGUUCGUUAGUUUCUUCAGUCGUUCCGUUCGCCUGCUUCAACCCGAAUUACUUUUGUUCGUUAGCUUCAACCGUUUCGUUCAUUUAUCUACUUCUUUUGAUCGGUAAGUUUGAUUCUUUCGUCUACUUCGCUAGUCUACUUCUUUCGUGAAUAAUCUUCGUUAUUCUACUUCAUUUAUCUACUUCUUUCAACCGAAAACUCAAUUCAAUCCGAAUUUUAAGGAUUAAAUCAGAGACCUAUUCGAUAAACAAUCUGACCCACCCACUGAAUUUUUGGGUUGUCCAAAAAAUAAUCCAACCCAUCCCUAAUAAAUAUUAGGAGAAAUUUGUACAGGUCCAAAAUGUUUAGAGACCUAUUUGAUAGACAAUCUGACCCACCCACUCAAUUUUUGGGUGUCCAAAAAAUAACCCAACCCAUCCCUAGUAAAUAUUAGGAGAAAUUUGUAUGGGUCCAAAAUGUCAAUGGACCAUUUUUUAAAAAAUAAUGUCUAAUUGACCUUGAUGUCAUCGCCUUACCAAAUUACUUAAUUUGCCCUUACUUCGUCUUCUUACCUUUUUAUUGAGAAAAUCUACCAAAACUAAACUAUUAUUCAUUCAAAAUUUCCAAGGCUAACGAAUUUAUUUCUCAUAAACAAAAAAAACUAUUUCCAGUUUGCAAACGAUUCUACUUCUGGCUUUCAAUCGAAUCUUAUCGGUAAGUCUUUCUUUCAAUAUGGUUUUUUUGUUUGUUUUUUUGGUUUUUUGUGGUUGAUGUGUUUUGUGGUUGAAGACGAGUAGAAAGAGUUUGUGAGCGAGAUAGGUGAGAGUGAAAUCGGUAGAGCGACGCCGGAGAAAGCGACACCGGAGAGAUAAGUGAACCUAUGGUUUUUUUGUUUGUUUUUCUGGUUUUUGAUGUGUUAUGUGGUUGAAGAAGAGUAAAAAGAGAGAAUGUGAGGGAGAUAAGGGAGAGUGACAUUGGAGAGAUGGGAGAGUGACAUUGGAGAGAGCGAGAUUGUGAGAGAGAGCGACAUCGGCGAGAGCCACUCUAGGGAGAGCGAUGCCAGUGAGAUCCACUCUAGCGAGAGCGAUGCCAGCGAGAUCCAUUCUAGCGAGAGCGAUGCUAGUGAGAUCAAUUCUAGCGAGAUUUAAAUAGAACGUUUUUUUACAUUUUUUUCUGAAGGAGUUUACUGAUUGAAUUUAUUAAUAAAUGUAGAAGUGAUUUAAGAUGACUACACAUUUUAGAAUAGCUGAAGGUGAUAGAUUUCCCGGUCAAGUAACCAGCUUGGCCCACAUUGCCAAUGCAAACAAGAUUGUCAAAGAGAAGCUCACGCCAACGCAGUUGGCCAUGUUUAAGAGAACAGUUUUUGGAAGAUUUGUUGACGUUGAUAUGGUGUUCAAUAGCCCAAUUGUCCAUCACAUGUUGCUCAGAGAAGUGAAGAGGACAAAAUCAGACUCAAUGACAUUCGCUGUCUGUGGGAAGCUUGUCACCUUUUCGAAGGAUGACUUUUUGGUGAUGACUGGUUUGUGGCAAUCCCCAUCACGAGUUGAUCGAAACCAACAGUCCUCAUAUGAACUUGCCAUCAAGUAUUUUGGCAAUCGAGUGACGAAAGACACUUUACACCUUCGUGAACUCGAAGAAAAAUACAAGGACUUAGAGUUUGAAAACGAUGAUGAUGCUGUGAAGAUCAGCCUAGUUUACUACACUGAGGUCGCAAUGAUGGGGAAAAACAAGCAGAAAAAUGCAGUCGACCUCAAACGUUUCAAGGACGUUCAGAGCUUGGAGUACUACAAUAGUCUUGAUUGGGGUACCAUUAUCUGGGAGAGGACAUUGGAUGCCUUAAAGACUGCCUUGAAUGACAAGAGCAGUCUUUACAAGAUGAGGGUCAAAUCAAAUAAAAACUACGUUGUGAAGUACUCCUUACGUGGAUUUCCACAAGCGUUUCAGGUAUGGACGUACGAGAUCCUAGCUUCAUCGAUAGUUGGGAACAUUGCGGAGCGAGGGAGCAAGGUGGCUUUGCCCCGCAUAUUACGAUGGUCAUGCUCCCACUCAGUGUCCUUCAAAGUACUCGAGAGGGACGAUAAUUCGAGUCUAACAAUAUAAAGGUUAAAGAGGGCACUGUGAUGUCAAAUGCUGAAGAGGAGUUUCGGGAUACCCGGUGGAACGAAGACCUAUAUUUGAGCUAGGUGCGAAUGAUGAUAGUUUUGAAAGUGGCUCAAGUCGACGAGUGAGGGGGGUAGUCCCGAGAGUGAAAGACACGACGAUGACCAUCGUGGAGAUGCCAAUAUAAGGUUGUCAAGGUGGAGGGAGGGGAUGAUCCUGAGCAUUCUAAGCACGAGGAUGCUGAAUAUGGAAGGGUGAAAGGAAGGGUGGAAGGAGGACAUACACACGUAGUGAUGAUAUGUUCAAUGAUAUGAUGGGAACGUACGCGAGGAGGACGAGUUGAACCAAGUUGAUGUCAUUCAUGCAGACUUCGGACAGAGCGUCCUGUGGAUGAGGAGUGUCCUGAGUGUCCUGCCCACCGCAGGGAGGGAGCCAAUGCAGACGAGUCUAGUUAUUCGUACCUGCGGUCCAUUGACAAUGCACUAUCGAGUUGGAUGGCCGAUAAUCGGGUUUAGAUAGUCGUGUCUCCAGUAUGGAGGAAAACAUGACUGAAAUGAAAGGGCAAUUGUCGACCAUCCUUUCAUUAUUGCAGUCUAUGCACAAGGGUUCCACGGUGAAUGAGGAACGACCAGGUCACCCAUCCCAUCUCGGGAGCCUGAUACGAACUGCACUUGCGUCUGACACUCCCAUCCCCAUCCCCCCUCUACAGCCCGAUACCACCCCUUCACCUACUCCCAACCCCCCUGUACAGCUCGAUACCACCAUUACCACGUCAUCACCGAUUGACGUCGAACCUAUACAGGUCAACGUCCCACAGACAGAGCCCGAUAUGUCUGCCUUAUUCACCAUGCCACCUACAGAGGCUGACAUGUCUAGCAUCUCGGAGGCAGCCACUUCUGGGAUUGUUACGACCACAGAAGGAGUUCCACUGGAUUCUCGAAGAAUUAGUCGUAAGAGAAAACCAGUUGACAAAUAUACACCCCCAGCCCAAGCAAAGAAGAAAAGUGUGGCUAAACAUCCUCUCCCAGGUGUAGCUACGUCAACAUUCAGAUCGAUCGUCACAUAUAAUGUAGCACACCCCAUUCCACACAAUAUCAUGACAGAAAUGAUGGGUUGGAUCUCGGACGACAAUACAAACAACGAGGUUCGAGAGAACUCCUUCAAACCACUCAACAAACAAUUCUUCAAGGAAUUGAUUACCCCGAAUUCGUUGUCGAGUGCGAUACCAUAAACACUUUAUUUUAUUUUAUGAAAGAUAAAUUUUAUACCCGGCCUGACAUGUACAUGCAUAAGUUCACCAUCUUGCCAAUUGGUGUAACAUUAAAUUUUGAUAUUUCGUUUCUUAACUUCUCAUUUCGUUAAGUUUCCUGGUCUUUACUUCUUUACUUAACUUCUCAUUUUAUUUAACAGAGUCACCUCAAUGCUCAUGGUGGGGUAUUUAAAAGAAUAAAGAAUAAGUCAUUCCUGGAGGCUGCCCUAGCUUGGGAAGAUGAAGACACGUACAAGGACUACGUCAUCGGUAAAUUUGAUGUCAAAUGGGCAUGUGGAUUUUGUUUACACGACGAUGAAUAUCAGUGAACACUGGAUGGUUCUUGCCAUAGACAUUAACAGAGGCCACAUAUUCGUAUUCGAUUCACUUCCAUCAUACACACUAAUGACAAAGUUGGUGAAUUAGCUAGAGCCAUUGACGGUCACAGUACCAUCCCUAUUCACUACUGUGACGUGGAUUGAUUGAAACCGGACCUGUCCACAGCCCAUUGGAAAAUCUCGCGACCUUAGAACGCCGAUAUACAACACGGGUCGCUUGAUUGUGGCAUCUUCGCAAUAAAACUUCUGGAACACCUGGUGACUGGUGCUGGUCCAUCCGUAAUCACUCAGGAGAAGAUGAGUGAAUAUAGGAUGCAAUUAGCAUGUCAGCUAUGGGCAAACACUUCAUAUUUUUUAUAUGUAACAUUGUAUUUUUUAUUCUUUGUAAAAACAUUCAUUUUUUUUUUUAUGUAUGUAAAAACAUUCAUUGUAUAAUUGAACAUACAUUUUUUAUGAAAGUUCAAAGUUC